rnacentral:lncRNA from 1 species
UUUACAUGGGAAAUAAAUCACAUUUAUGACAAACAUGAGUGCUCAUCAUUCCCCGACCUCAUCAGCCUGACCUCCCCAGGGGCCCAUCAAGAUAGUUCUGGGUUGCUACUGAGAUUCACAUAAUGUAAAAACCAGACGGGAAAGAGGCUUUUUCCCCAGCUUCAGCAUGCAGUUAUGGACUGUGGGCCACAGAAAUAGCUGCAAGACAGAAAUGCUCACCACAGCUCCUUCCUCCUGAAGCCAUACCUACUCUCUGUGGGACCUAUGACAGUUUGGCACAUAGCUGCUAUGGUUAGCUAACACCAACUUGGAGAUUGCAUUGUGUGGUUGGGGUUGGUUUGUUUGUUUGUUUCCAGGAAAUGUCCACUCAGUCUGUCUGUACAGCACGUAGUAUCGACCAGCCAAGACACGUGGAAGGGUGAGAAGAACACAGCAACUUGCCUUGCCUCAUGCUUCCUCUGCCUGCACAGAGGUGUCAUGCUCACAGCCACCACACUGCUCCAAAAUUUAAGAAGGUCACAAACCACCAGCAUGUGCAGCAGAAAGUGAUGUUGUUGUAGCCACCUGAAGCUCUGAAGCUCUGCUGUUCCACAGCUUCCCUAACCAUGAGUAUUCAACCACAACCCAGAAGACUUCCUUUCUUGGACAGACCCAGGCUAUAUCCAGCUGUCUGUUUGCAAGUCAGGUCACCGAUCCCUAAAACAUCUCAAGGUGAAAAUGAGUGGGAGUGGCACUAUACAAACACUUCUCUUUAUUAGUAAGCUUGUAUUAAUACUUGCUUGAAAAUCUGCUUGUUGAUAAAUGCUAAUUAAAUACCAACUCAAAGCAUCAUUUUGCCGCUUUCUUUGGGUCUUUUGCACUCUAAUUUCUGGGGCAAUCAACAAAUCUCAUCCAAUGUUUUACAAGAGGUGAUUAAAACCACUGCUAGGGGAGAAAAAGAAGACAAUUUUAUAGAGUGGGCAGAAAGUGGAGAAAAAUAUCUGGAGCAUAUAGGUUAUGAGAGUUCCCAGCUGUGCCAUCAGUUUAUUGAUGAUGUGGAAAUGAAGUAUAGCAGUGGCUUUCCACGUGAUGGUCAAUGAACUGCAGAGAAUAUCCCAUCUGCAGAACAAUUCAAGAAUUGGUUUGUUUGACAAGACAUCAGCCAGUGCUUCCAGAGUUUUCUCUAUCCUUUGAGGAGCA